UACGUAGGGACCAAGCGUUGUUCGGAUUUACUGGGCGUAAAGGGCGCGUAGGCGGCCUACUAAGUCGGACGUGAAAUCCCUCGGCUCAACCGAGGAACUGCGUCCGAUACUGGCAGGCUGGAAUCCGGGAGAGGGAUGUGGAAUUCCAGGUGUAGCGGUGAAAUGCGUAGAUAUCUGGAGGAACACCGGUGGCGAAGGCGGCAUCCUGGACCGGUAUUGACGCUGAGGCGCGAAAGCUAGGGGAGCAAACGGG
rnacentral:rRNA from 1 species